UACGUAGGGGGGCAAGCGUUUGUCCGGAAUCAUUGGGCGUAAAGCGCGUGUAGGCGCCAGAUCAGUCCGCUGUGAAAUCUCGAGGCUCAACUUCGAGCUGUCGGUGGAAACUGUCUGGCUAGAGUCCGGAAGAGGAGAAUGGAAUUCCUGGUGUAGCGGUGAAAUGCGCAGAUAUCAGGAAGAACACCCGUGGCGAAGGCGGUUCUCUGGGACGGUACUGACGCUGAGACGCGAAAGCGUGGGGAGCGAACAGG
rnacentral:rRNA from 1 species